GAUGUGAACAUGAAAACCGCAGAUACGAUGGGCAUAAGGAGGGCGGCGUACAAGGAUCUCCUUAAUACGUUUGCGGUUUUUCGUAGCACAUCAAACGAAAACUGUAGUUACGUCCUUGGAAGUGAAGAAAUGAUCGUGGCGCUACUAUGCGAUCUUCGAAGUUCUUGCGUCUCACCGCAACACGUAACCAUUAUCAAUUUGAUUUAUGACUAUGCGCAAAAUGAGAAGAUAACAAGUGUGGCCCAUAACAAGCCAAGCAGCAAUUUAUCGAGCAGAGCAGCGUUGUGCGAGCUGCUGAUUAACCAGAUUGCCUACUUUAACACCUUGGAGCCAGCAGAAAGGGCCUUGUGCUUUUUUUUUCGGCUUUCUACGUGCCAAACUGCGAAAACAAGUGAAAGCUACAAUUCCGCAUCUGACAGAAACCGGGCUUAUUUAUGGUUUCGUUUUGGAAACCAAAGAACGCUACCUGAAGAAACAAUCUCUACGAUUCCACGACAUAAGAGAGACCGAUCUUGUGAUACGCCGACAGGGGGCAGAAGAAAUUACGGAAGUAUUAUCCUUUUAUAAAGCAAGCGCCAGCAAAUAUGACGCCGAGAGCUCAAGCCUAACCGCCGGCGACAAAGCUGUCAAGUACGACCAGAAGUUCUAUCCGUUCCAGAAAUCAUCGACUUCGGCAUCUGCAGUUUCGGGGGCUUCUGUUCCCCCCAUUCGUAUCGUUAUGCCCCAGGGGCGCCGAGAUGUACCGUUCGCCGACUUACUGUUCGAAGAGAUGCUGGAAAUCUUUGUAGAACGAUUCGUAUCCGUGAAUCCAGUUCGUGAUCCGGAAACGGCUGCUUUAAUCGGUACCGAUAUAAUGCAAAACACAAAGUUGAGGAUCUUUUGGCUUCAUUCUGUAUCACCAAGGAAAUUUGCGACGAUUUCUUAGCUCCUAACUUUGUUUCUUCGGAGUGUAUUGAUCUCGCGCAUUUUAUUGCCAGGAAGUUUUUUGUAUCGUUCGGUGGAAGCACAUAUUUUGGGCAAUCGUUUAACGAUUUUAUGUCAAACAUUUUCAAUAUCGGCGCAAAGGCUUCGCAAAUUUGUAUUUUGGAGAACAUUCAACUGUGUUAAUGAGGCACGGGGAUCGGCUGAUGUACGUGGAUCCGGCUGGCAAAGCAACGUUGGAUAACCCUGCUCUGAUGCGAGUCAUCAGCGGAUUCUUAUUCGGGGUGAAUUCCACUUUCAGAUACAGAGAAUACGGCAUUUGCCGGAUCGCCGAGAGCCCGAACGGGUGGUUCAGUUCAGGAUUCUGACUGUAUUUACCGAUGACGCAAAAAGUUUACGUCCUUUGGCGACAUAUCCGUUAUACGCUGAAUGGAAUACCUUGUUUCACUGGUGCAUGCAACAAUACCCUACGACCAUGUAUGUGGGUUUAUUUUUGGGCAUCCGUUCCAAUAUUCCGGUAUUUGCGGGACAAGGAUUACGCGAUUGUUAAUUUGGCGGGGUACGAGUUUAUCAUAAAGCAGAAGGAUUUCGCUGAGCACUUGGCGUUUAAACUCGAGUUCCGGAUGCUCCACGACAUCGCUGCGAUAUCGCCGAUCUAGUAGUGGACCUGGGCGCCCAGCCGCUAUCGGAUAGGGACGUUUUCGGCAGCGCUGUAAAGCGUGUGUUCGCCAAAGAUGGCAACCAGGUGACCGACACCGAACAGGAAAUCAGUAUUUCCGAUAACCAGGGCCUUGGCACUGAGAAUUCGAAAGAGGUGAUACAAAGUGAUUUAACUAAGCAGCUGACCGAACCCUACUGCGCUGAGAAGCUGGAAGAGGAAGUGGAUGACACUACGCGUAGGCAAACCGCAAAAGGCUCGUAAGCGUGCCGGUGUGGCCAAGGCGAAGUCAAAGAGCGCAGUUUGAAAGGGAAUUGCGAAAAACGUUAUCUCGGCACAACAGCAGUCGUCAGCAGCCAGAGUGAAAACCAGUGUGGAACCUGCAACACAAGAAAUCAUGUUGGCAGGAAUGAUGGAACGUUGGAUAGAUAACCUAAGCUCAUAUACAUUAUCUAUAUUUGAAUAAUCGAUUUUCUUAAAUGUAGAUAAUCUAUUUCGCACACUAUUUAGCAGAAACGUUUUUCCAGGAAACCAUUGUGGAACCUGUAACACAAGAAAUCAUGUCUCGAUCAAUAGCUAUAUUAAAACUUCGUUUUAAUAUAGCUAUUGAUCAUGACUCUGUUAAGAUCAUUAUUGCGCUUUUGUAAAUUAUUCGUAACUAAGUUCCUGUGUAUGUUUUCCGCCUGUCGUCAGUUCACAAAAACAGAAUUAGCACAGCUAAUUCCGGUUACAACACAGCAGGGAUGAUUGUUAGGCAGGACGACUUAAAGUGCCGUUAGGGUGUGUCUUUUGUGCAAGUAGAUGUACCUACCGAAGCUGGAGAAGCAAACCGUCAUCCACUGUGAAUGUGGCAUGUGUAGCGAUUGUGUGUUUCUGUUCAUUGAAUUUCAGUUACUGUUAUGUUGAAGCAAAGUCUACUUCAAUAUAAAGUAAAGUUUAUGCUUACUUCAACUUAACAGCAUCUGAUGGUUUACAUAGUAUAACAAGUCGAUCUUAUCUUCCGCCUACUCUCUUGGAUGAGGCGUUGGGGGAUCCUUUAGCAAGGACGGCGGCCUGGUUGCGCCGGUGACCCAUGUUCCGGUGCCAGUGUCUUCCAUGAACCGGUGCCAAAGAGAAACCAAUCGUUACGCGUAACUGUUGUUGCUGCCGCAGACUGUGGCAACAACAAUAGUACAGUUUAAAAAGUUUAUAUGGGUUUUGGAAAAAACAUGCAAUAGCAAGUAUUUAAAGAAAUUUUGAAGUUAAAACCGUCCAAACGGGUAAAAUCAUACAAACCGUGAUACCUACAAACAUUUAGAAACAAUAAAAGUCCAAAAACUUAAAACCCGCUCUCAUUGUCAGAACUCAGAAACAAAGUUACGGCGAGCCGAGGUCUCACUGUCAUCAGAUCAUUUUAAUAACUUCCGAAUAUGUACCUAAUGAUAAUACUGCUUCCUGAAUAAUUAUUGUUAAAACUGUACUAUAUUGGUUAAGACCUGUAAAACCUUACAACCCCUACAAGAAAGAAUCACCGUAAAAACUUUAUAUUUAGAAAUAAAACUGUCAACGCCUUAAAACCGGCUUCAGAAGAACACAAUCAAAACCAAAAAUCAUUAAAAACCGCUAAAACCUUAAAACCGCUUUCUGAGGAAUCACUGAUAAAACUGUAAUUCAGUGAUAAAAAUGCUAAAACCUUAAAACCGCUUUCCGAAAGCUCACUACCAAAACUAAAUAUUAGUAAAAACUGCUAAAACCUUAAAACCGCUUUUUGAAAGUUUCUGCUUAAACUGUAUAAUAGUAAUAAAACCACUAAAACCUUAAAACCGUUUUCUGAGAAAUCAGUGCUAAAACUGUAUAAUAGUAAUAAAACCAAUAAAACCCUAAACCCUUUUUCUGAGAAAUCACUGAUAAACUGUAAUUGGGUAAUAAGACUGCUAAAACCUUAAAACCGCUUUCCGAAAAAUCACUAUCAGAACUAUAUAUUACUAAAAACCGUUAAAACCUUAAAACCGCUUUUUGAGAAAUCAUUGUCGAACCGAUGUACUUAUUAUCUUAUUAUUUAAAACGUUUGGUUUUAUUAGUUUUAAUAGUUUAAAAAUUAGAUUUGGACCACUUUGUACCUACCCUCCCCACAAUGUUGUCUUACGCCAGCGGGA